rnacentral:lncRNA from 1 species
GAGAAACUAGAGCUGCUCAUUGCUAAAACCAGAAGAGCAAGAUGUUGGAGAAUUAAUAUCUGCUAGAGAAAUAUGCAUCUCAGCCUGGACUAAUUGGUGCCUGGAACAUGAUGGUAGGUCUCCUACUCACAAAUUGGAUGGUGAUGGAAAGGCCAUCCUGAUGAGCCUUCCAAAAGUUUUGUCAGAAGACAGAGUGAUGUUGGAUAACACUACUGAGCCACAACUUCCAUCCACGCAAGACUUAAUAUAUUUCCUGGGACAAAAGUACCUAGGAAACCAAAAGCCUUUCACCUUAUCCCUUGAAGCUAAUUUCCCUUUGGCUGACACUGUGCAGCAAAGUGUAUUAAUAUCCAUGAUGGGUGAUCAGCCUUCAAUAAAUAAUGC